rnacentral:rRNA from 1 species
UACAGAGGGUGCAAGCGUUGUUCGGAAUCAUUGGGCGUAAAGCGCACGUAGGCGGCUUUGCAAGUCAGGUGUGAAAGCCUGGGGCUCAACCCCAGAAGUGCAUUUGAAACUGCAGAGCUUGAGUCUUGGAGAGGGCAGUGGAAUUCCGAGUGUAGAGGUGAAAUUCGUAGAUAUUCGGAGGAACACCAGUGGCGAAGGCGACUGCCUGGACAAAGACUGACGCUGAGGUGCGAAAGCGUGGGGAGCAAACAGG